UACAGAGGGGGCAAGCGUUAUUCGGAAUUAUUGGGCGUAAAGGGCGCGUAGGCGGUUUCUUAAGUCAGAUGUGUAAUCCCCGAGCUUAACUUGGGAACUGCAUCUGAGACUGGGAGGCUAGAGUACUGGAGAGGGUGGUGGAAUUCCUCGUGUAGCGGUGAAAUGCGUAGAGAUGAGGAGGAACACCAGUGGCGAAGGCGGCCACCUGGACAGUAACUGACGCUGAGGCGCGAAAGUGUGGGUAGCAAACAGG
rnacentral:rRNA from 1 species